rnacentral:rRNA from 1 species
UACGGAGGGUGCGAGCGUUGUCCGGAAUCACUGGGCGUAAAGGGCGCGUAGUGGCGCUAGGAAGUCAACGGUGAAAGUUCGGGGCUCCGAACCCUGAAUCGGCCGUCGAUACUCCUGGGCUCGAGCACUGUAGAGGCAGAUGGAAUUCCGGGGUGUAGGCGGUGGAAUGCGUAGAGAAUCCGGAAGAACACCGGUGGCGAAGGCGGGCCGUGCUG